rnacentral:rRNA from 1 species
UACAGAGGGUGCGAGCGUUAAUCGGAAUUACUGGGCGUAAAGCGUGCGUAGACGGUUAUUUAAGUCGGGUGUGAAAGCCCCGGGCUCAACCUGGGAAUUGCAUUCGAGACUGAAUAGCUAGGGUACGGUAGAGGGAAGUGGAAUUUCCGGUGUAGCGGUGAAAUGCGUAGAUAUCGGAAGGAACAUCAGUGGCGAAAGCGGCCUGCUGGGCAGUGGCUGACGCUGAGGCGCGAAAGCGUGGGGAGCAAACAGGG